rnacentral:rRNA from 1 species
AACGAACGCUGGCGGCAGGCUUAACACAUGCAAGUCGAACGCAUCCUUCGGGGUGAGUGGCAGACGGGUGAGUAACACGUGGGAACGUACCUUUCAGUUUGGAAUAACCCAGGGAAACUUGGGCUAAUGCCGGAUACGCCCUUUUGGGGAAAGAUUUAUCGCUGAGAGAUCGGCCCGCGUCUGAUUAGCUAGUUGGUGAGGUAAAGGCUCACCAAGGCGACGAUCAGUAGCUGGUCUGAGAGGAUGAUCAGCCACAUUGGGACUGAGACACGGCCCAAACUCCUACGGGAGGCAGCAGUGGGGAAUAUUGGACAAUGGGCGCAAGCCUGAUCCAGCCAUGCCGCGUGAGUGAUGAAGGCCUUAGGGUUGUAAAGCUCUUUCGUCCGGGACGAUAAUGACGGUACCGGAAGAAGAAGCCCCGGCUAACUUCGUGCCAGCCGCCGCCGUAACAC